rnacentral:misc_RNA from 1 species
GUUUAAACGUGAGAUAGAUGCCCUGGUAUCAGAAAUUGACAGAACUGCACCAAAUUUGAAAGCACUAGAUCAAUAUGAAGCUUUGAAAGAAAAGGAAAGAGUUAUAUCUGAGGAGUUUGAAGCCGCUAGGAAAGAGGAGAAAGAGGUGGCUGACAAAUUCAAUUCUAUUAAGCAAAAGAGGUAUGAGUUGUUUAUGGAUGCUUUCAACCACAUUUCUGGAAAUAUCGAUAAGAUAUAUAAGCAAUUGACAAAAAGUAACACACACCCCUUGGGUGGAACAGCGUAUUUGAACUUGGAAAAUGAGGAUGAACCAUUUUUACAUGGUAUCAAGUAU